GGACACACCUGGCAAUGGAUGUGACAUUCAGCACUGCUCAGGUUUCUUCCAUUUGGAGGAGGCAAAGUGAUGAAUGGAAGGAGGCAAUCCUCUGGCAGUGGGAUGCUAGGAAGUGAUAAUAAGGCAAGUUUGCUUGCUUGAAGGCUGCUGGUAUCUGUGAUUAGAAGCUGGUGGACGUCUCGUGAUGGACCUAACAGUAGCUUCUGGUGCAAUGGGACACUGUGACGGAAACCAGAGAACUUGACACAGGUGAGGUCUGACUAAAACAUAAUAGAAUGAUACAUCUGCAUCUUGCAAUCUUGACACUAGCCUUUUGUUUGUCUUCUAAAUCAUUGUAUGGUACUACUGACUACUAAUUUGUGGUCUAGAUCCUUUUCACAUGCACAGCUGUCAAGCCACAUGCAUCACAUCUUAGAUUUAUGUAUCUGAUUCUCCCUACCUAAGGAGAGAAUGUUACCUUAAUCUCUGCUGAAUUCAUUUUGUUAGCUUCAGCCCCGUUCCCUGUCCUGUCGAGAUAAUCUUGAAUUCUGUUUGUUGUCAUUUGCAAAUUUGAUAAACAUCUCCUCUAUUCCUUCAUUCAGGUAAUUUAUAGUGAUGCUAAACAACACAGAAGCACAGAGCAGAGCUAACUUGACGCGAGGAAAACUUUUACAGUACUUUGAAUCUGCAUGAAGCAAUUAUGCCUAUGCUUGCACUUAACCAAAAAUGUUAAAUGUGUGAAAUAUGUAACCGUUCGUCUGCACUGGAGAGCUGACAAGCUGAACUGUGAACUGAAUUGUGAAAGGCCAUGCAGAGUUGGCAGAAACUGGAAGAAGCAAAAGGAGAAGUGCAAUGUGCAGUUGAGAGAGGUCAAGGUAACAACGGAGGAGUAAUUAAGCUGGAUAGUCAGG